UGUCCGUCUUGCUUGCUGCUGCGGCUGAACAGAUGAUUUGUUUCAGUGCUCAGAUGCGUGAUCUACUUUAAGCCGACAUACGGAUAUUAUAAUAUUCAGUUUUGUGGGCCAAAUUUAUUUUAUAUGCCAACAUCUAUGAAAGAAAGAGCCAGGCCACGGAGCGCGAUGCGUCAUUUACGCACAGAUGGUUCCGAUUUUAAUGCCAUUUUUGGAGUUUAUGUUGUGAUCUGUGCGCUAAACCCACCUUUGUCACGUGAGGUUUGAAUAUAUGCAACUUUAUGUGAGUGUCUUUAUUUGUGGAAAAGGGUGUUUGUCUUACCAGUGGGUCCAACAUUACACACACCAAAUCCAUCUGUGCUCAGAUGAGAGAGUGUGGAGGACACUUGUUGAGCAGCUGCCCUCUGUCGCCAUCGUGUGGCAUAACUGUCUUCAGACAUCUCUCGAUCUCUUUGACUACUUCAUGAAAAUAGUAAUACGCCUCGCCGGUGGCGGAUUUAAAGGCAAGGAGAGGAGCUUAUGUGAUUGGUGAAAACAGGUCUCGGCUGUGUUAAAUCUACUACACGC